rnacentral:rRNA from 1 species
UAGGGAAUCUUCGGCAAUGGGGGGAACCCUGACCGAGCAACGCCGCGUGAGUGAAGAAGGUUUUCGGAUCGUAAAGCUCUGUUGUUAAGGAAGAACGAGUGUGAGAAUGGAAAGUUCAUGCUGGGACGGUACUUAACCAGAAAGGGACGGCUAACUACGUGCCAGAAGCCGCGGUAAUACGUAGGUCCCGAGCGUUGUCCAGAUGUAUUGGGCGUAAAGCGAGCGCAGGCGGUUAUAAAAGUCUGAAGUGAAAGGCAGUGGCUCAACCCUUGUAGGCUUUGGAAACUGUUUAACUUGAGUGCAGAAGGGGAGAGUGGAAUUCCAUGUGUAGCGGUGAAAUGCGUAGAUAUAUGGAGGAACACCGGUGGCGAAAGCGGCUCUCUGGUCUGUAACUAACGCUGAGGCUCGAAAGCGUGGGGAGCAAACAGG